GUGAAAAAGAGAUCCAGCGACCACGCUAACCAGUAGCAGACGGCAGCCCGCCCCCAACGCCCCGCGCCUUGGGCCCUCCCCCACUGUUGGUUUCGGGCGCUGUGGAGUGGGAGGCGGCAGGAGAGCCGGGCUUGGCGGACCGUGCAGUCUGCUGUUCUUCGGGCGGUGCCCUCCUGCCACAAACACCUGCUAAGGUGACAGAAUUGCAGCAGCCACAGGGAAAGCACAGGAGGGGACCCCCAUUUAUCUUGCAAGGAGGCCGUGACUCUGAGGUCAGUGAAUGUGGCUUUGAAGUUUGUUCUUGGUGGAGAUCUUCAGUGAGAAGGUAGUUUCCAAAUCGCUGGUCUGUGAACGCUGCUGAGGAGGCGUUACAAAGGAAGACCAGCAAAACCGGUGGAAAACCCUCCCUUCGGAAUGAGUUGAUUAGUUAUUGCCGAUUAUCUUCGAUGUUCGGUGCAGGACCUGGGGUUUGGUGGAAAAGCCUCAGUCACCAAAAAAUGAAGCCUGUGAACAUGGAGGCCACUGUGAACAAGUCUGGCUCCUCUCCAGGAAGAGGCUUGGGAGUGCCCCGGCUCACCUUCUCAGAAAUGCAGGCUCACACCGGAGUUCCUGUGUCUGCGUCCUCUGGGGACACACAGCUGCCUUUAGUGACACCUACUGAUAAGAGCCAAUCAGAACCGUGGCCGAAUUCCUUCAGGCUGGACGUGCCAACAAACUGCUCAGCCCUCCAGAUGUUGCUGCUUUGUGAGAAAUGAGAACUCAAUAAACCAGGCUCACCCUUCCUCCUGGGGUGAACG
rnacentral:lncRNA from 1 species